UAGGGAAUCUUCCACGAUGGGCGCAAGUCUGAUGGAGCAACGCCGCGUGUGUGAUGAAGGCUUUCGGGUCGUAAAGCACUGUUGUAUGGGAAGAAAUGCUAGAAUAGGGAAUGAUUCUAGUUCGACGGUACCAUACCAGAAAGGGACGGCUAAAUACGUGCCAG
rnacentral:rRNA from 1 species